GCCGGGAUAGCUCAGUGGUAGAGCAGACGCUUUGUAAGCGUAAGGUCGGUGGUUCGAAUCCACUUCUCGGCUCCC
rnacentral:tRNA from 4 species